GCUCAAUAGACGUAUCAAGUUAUUAACGACUUUGGGCUUAUGCAAAAGCCAGUGUAAUAAUAACAUUAUACAAAAUACAGCUUAACAAUGACAGUAUAAGCCCAUUCAUAUUUGAGCUAUAGGCACUUGCCGUCUACUGAGGAUUUUUUGUUUUAUAUAACUAUAAACAAUAUAUUCACACAACAAAAAGAUAAGUCUUUUUCAAUCCCUAUCGAGGCUAAUAUAAAAGUCAAUUAAAGUAUAUUUCUUUUGGUCACAUUGAAUAAGCUCCAGCCUUGCCACACUGUUGACAUCUGUCGGUAAUGUGGGCAUCAUGUGAUCUAUGAGCUCCUUAUCCAUCCUAGGCAUGAGAUCCCAGCUGGGCUUGAGUACUAGCUAAAUAAUUGCCCUACCAGAUAGGAAUAAUCGCGUACCAUUCCGCUCCAUUAAUGCCAACCCUAUUCUUAUAAUACGAUAGGCGUUGCCAACUCUGGAGAGGAUAUGUGCGGAUCAUAAUAUGAGUAGAUAGCAACGACAGCAAUCAUUCAGAUGUAUUAAUCAGUAUCGUGUCGUUGUUUCAUUUUCCUCCCAUCGUAUGACCAUGCCUGGAAAAAUUAAAAACGAAAGCAAGAAAAAUGAAAUAUAAAAGGAGAAAAAAGAAGAUAGAUAGGAACGAGGAUGUAGAAGAUUAGAGGAAAGUUUAGAAGAG